rnacentral:rRNA from 1 species
UCCAGACUCCUACGGGAGGCAGCAGUGGGGAAUAUUGCACAAUGGGGGGAACCCUGAUGCAGCGACGCCGCGUGAGUGAAGAAGUAUUUCGGUAUGUAAAGCUCUCUCAGCAGGGAAGAUAAUGACGGUACCUGACUAAGAAGCCCCGGCUAACUACGUGCCAGCAGCCGCGGUAAUACGUAGGGGGCAAGCGUUAUCCGGAUUUACUGGGUGUAAAGGGUGCGUAGGUGGCAGGGCAAGUCAGAUGUGAAAGCCCGGGGCCCAACCCCGGUACUGCAUUUGAAACUGUCCGGCUGGAGUGCAGGAGAGGUAAGCGGAAUUCCUAGUGUAGCGGUGAAAUGCGUAGAUAUUAGGAGGAACACCAGUGGCGAAGGCGGCUUACUGGACUGUAACUGACACUGAGGCACGAAAGCGUGGGGAGCAAACAGGAUUAGAUACCCUCGUA